GAACUGCCAGGUAUCAAGACGCAGAAACGGGAACUUCAGUAUCAGGAAGAUGAGAGAGAAAUUGUGGAAUUUGUCCCCAAAUUGGAUCACACAAGGGAGGAAUCACCAGCUAUCCCUCGAAUCCCUUGCGUUACACCUGAGACGGUCCUGAUCCAGGCUGAGGAACCUGAGCAGCCUUCCAAGGAGUUUGAUGAAGAGUCCCUCAUCCCAAGCAGUCCUGCCACAGAGACCUCUGACAACAUCAGUCCAGUAGCCAGCCCUGUCCACACAGGGUGAGUCCU